rnacentral:lncRNA from 1 species
UGUAAUUUCGGGAUUUUUCAAAAAGUUUGAUUUUUGCUGAAAUUUUUUGCAUGAUCUGGUUUGAAAUAGCAUUUUUAUGCAUUAUAAUGUUAUUAGAAAUUUUUCCGCUAUUUUUACAUAUUUUUUCAAAAAUUUUGUUCAUGUAUGCAAUUUUUUUUUGAUAUAGGAAAAUGACGUUUUUGCUCGUAUUGGUGGUGUUGGUGUUAAUGGCUGGGAGACGGAGCCGUGAUAGUGGUAGAGGUCGUCAUGGGGUUU